rnacentral:rRNA from 1 species
UACGUAGGGUGCAAGCGUUAAUCGGAAUUACUGGGCGUAAAGCGUGCGCAGGCGGCUAUGCAAGACAGAUGUGAAAUCCCCCGGGCUCAACCUGGGAACUGCAUUUGUGACUGGCAGGCUUUGAGUGUGGCAGGAGGGAGGUAGAAUUCCACGUGUAAGCAGUGAAAUGCGUAGAGAUGUGGAGGAAUACCGAUGGCGAAGGCCAAUCCCCUGGACCUGUACUGAC